ACUCACGCACACACACACAUGUACACGAUCACCACGACCACGUCCCAGGAACCAGGAUGCGCGCACGAACCCGAGCUCUAGCGACCACCCUUGGACGCGAGCAUCCUCACACACGCGUGCCACCCUCCCCUCUGCUGACGCAAGCCUAGCAACGUCAUCCUCCGCGCCUCCAGUGACCUCAGCCGUGACGAUACCUUCCGUCGAACACCCUCUGUGCAGUGGCCCCGCGCUCUCUCCCGACCGCUUUCCCGCGCAGCGCCUCGCCCCGAAAACCUUAACCCGCGCGGAGACGCUCCCCCACCGCCCUGCUGCCCAAUGGUGAGCCUGUACGCCGGUGCACUGUCGCCCUGCACCGCGUCUACCGUACGCCCGCCCUGGGCUAUAAAAGCUUCCCCACACACCUCACUUCGUCACACCUUUCCACCCCAUCUCCAUUCACCCCUACUAGCUCCCAGUAGCGCUGCGGCGCAGCCUCUGCCACUACCUCGCCGAGAGGAGCAAGUUCUGCUCGCGGUCACCGCGACGCGAGGUGACGAGCAAGAACCGCUGGUAGCCGCCACCCUCGUCGUCGUAAGUACGAGAAGCUCGCCGGAGAAGAAGCCGUUCGUACUGCCGUCUAGAGGAGUAGCUGCUCGAGCUGGACGUCAAGCUGCGUUUCCCCGACCUACCACCACCUCGCUGACCCUCCGCGUCAUCCACGACGGCUCGUACCGGCCGACGAGGAGCUUCCUUGCCGCCCUGCUCCUGCGCCCGUCGAGCAUCGCCCUGCCAGAAACCCGGUCGUCCGCGCCGUCGACCGAGAGCACACCAGCACCAACGAGGCGGGCAAGUUCACUGCGCCGAGUAUCCGCCUAACUUCCCCGUCGAGCUUCGGCAAACCUAGCCUCCCAGAUUCGAUCGCUGCCCGGUUUGAAGGAGAGGAAGGAUUUGAAGAAUUUGAAGAAGUCCAGGGACAAAUAAGCCAACCAAGGCAAG